rnacentral:rRNA from 1 species
UACGAGGGGUGCAAGCGUUGCUCGGAAUUAUUGGGCGUAAAGGGCAAGUAGGUGGUCUCAUUUGUCUACAGGUGAAAGCCUUGAGCUUAACUCAAGAAGUGCCUUAGAAACGGUGAGACUCGAGUACUGGAGAGGGUCGUGGAAUUCCCGGUGUAGCGGUGAAAUGCGUAGAUAUCAGGAGGAACACCGGUGGCGAAGGCGGAUCUCUGGGCCGAUACUGACGCUGAGGAGCGAAAGCGUGGGGAGCGAACAGG